ACGGUCCAAACUCCUACGGGAGGCAGCAGUGAGGAAUAUUGGUCAAUGGGCGAUGGCCUGAACCAGCCAAGUAGCGUGAAGGAUGACUGCCCUAUGGGUUGUAAACUUCUUUUAUAAAGGAAUAAAGUCGGGUAUGCAUACCCGUUUGCAUGUACUUUAUGAAUAAGGAUUCGGCUAACUCCGUGCCAGCAGCCGCGGUAAUACGGAGAAUCCGAGCGUUAUCCGGAUUUAUUGGGUUUAAAGGGAGCGUAGAUGGAUGUUUAAGUCAGUUGUGAAAGUUUGCGGCUCAACCGUAAAAUUGCAGUUGAUACUGGAUGUCUUGAGUGCAGUUGAGGCAGGCGGAAUUCGUGGUGUAGCGGUGAAAUGCUUAGAUAUCACGAAGAACUCCGAUUGCGAAGGCAGCCUGCUAAGCUGCAACUGACAUUGAGGCUCGAAAGUGUGGGUAUCAAACAGGAUUAGAUACCCUGGUAGUCCACACGGUAAACGAUGAAUACUCGCUGCUUGCGAUAUACGGCAAGCGGCCAAGCGAAAGCGUUAAGUAUUCCACCUGGGGAGUAC
rnacentral:rRNA from 1 species